rnacentral:tRNA from 1 species
AUUACUUUGGCAGAAAAGUGUAAUGAAUUUAGAAUUCAUAUAUGUAAAUAUAUUUACAAGUAAUA